rnacentral:rRNA from 1 species
UGCCAGUCGUCUCGGGACUUGAUGGAGAGCUUGCUCUCCUGAUGGUUAGCGGCGGACGGGUGAGUAACACGUAGGCAACCUGCCUGCAAGACCGGGAUAACCCACGGAAACGUGAGCUAAUACCGGAUAUCUCAUUUCCUCUCCUGGGGGAAUGAUGAAAGACGGAGCAAUCUGUCACUUGCGGAUGGGCCUGCGGCGCAUUAGCUAGUUGGUGAGGUAACGGCUCACCAAGGCGACGAUGCGUAGCCGACCUGAGAGGGUGAACGGCCACACUGGGACUGAGACACGGCCCAGACUCCUACGGGAGGCAGCAGUAGGGAAUCUUCCGCAAUGGGCGAAAGCCUGACGGAGCAACGCCGCGUGAGUGAUGAAGGUUUUCGGAUCGUAAAGCUCUGUUGCCAGGGAAGAACGUCCGAUAGAGUAACUGCUAUCGGAGUGACGGUACCUGAGAAGAAAGCCCCGGCUAACUACGUGCCAGCAGCCGCGGUAAUACGUAGGGGGCAAGCGUUGUCCGGAAUUAUUGGGCGUAAAGCGCGCGCAGGCGGUCAUUUAAGUCUGGUGUUUAAGGCCAAGGCUCAACCUUGGUUCGCACUGGAAACUGGGUGACUUGAGUGCAGAAGAGGAGAGUGGAAUUCCACGUGUAGCGGUGAAWUGCGUUAGAUAUGUGGAGGAACACCAGUGGCGAAGGCGACUCUCUGGGGCUGUAACUGACGCUGAGGCGCGAAAGCGUGGGGGAGCANACAGGGAUUAGAUACCCUGGUAGUCCCG